CAAGUUUCGGGACGAAACUUCUUUUAAGAGGGGUAGAUUGUAAUCCCCCGUAAUUUUAUACAUUUUAGUUAUAUAUUUUAACGAAUAUUUAAUAUAUUUAAUAUAUAUUUAAACAUAAAUUACGGAUUUUAGAAACGAAUAUGUAAUUGAAAUGUAAUUAUUUUAUUUCAUUUGGAAUACUUUUAAUGAUUUACGAAAUCAAAAUGUAUUUUCGAAUUUUACGUUAAAACGAAUUCGAUUUUGGAUUCGAAUCCUAAAUACUAAAUUCCUAAGUCUAGCCCAAUUGAAUAAAGCCCAAUAAUAUAAACCCAUAACCCCACACUUCUACUCCAUGUAAAACACAAAACACAAAACACCAAACCCUUCUCCUCUCUACUCUUCACGUGGAAAACCAAAAAAAAAAAAAAAAACAAGAAGAAAAACCCUCCUGCUUCACGUACAACCUCCCAGCCGUUGCUCUCUCUCUCUCCUCGCCGCGGCUCUCCUCCUCACGACUGAGCCCUCGACGCCGCCACCGCAAAGCACCACCGUGUGCCGCCGUCCACCACCUAGCGCAGUCACCCACGAACCUCGACCACCGCCUUGCACGCAACCACCGCACGCAACCACCGCACGCAACCACCGUGCUCCUCCCUCGCCGCAAGCCGCCGCCGUCUACCGGCCAACCUCCUCUCCCCUCUCUAAUUCUUGGCGGAGAAUUCUCUCUAGGCGACUUUUGAAAGUGUUAAGGUGGCCUAUCAGUUUGUUUACACAAGUCUCUAAGGAUCAAUAAGCGUUGCCCAUCUACAGGUUUGAAGAUGAUGCAUCAUUGGGAUCGGGAUUAGAGAGCUUGUAGUUCUAUUCGUUUAAUUAAGUGAUUUAAUUUGUUAACUUGGAUUUGAAAUUUUUCGUACUAUUCGUAUUUCCUUAAUUCAGUUAAUUGGUUUGGACCUAAUAUGUAAUAGAUUAUUUAUGAACCUAAAAGUUAGUUUUAUGUUUUCCGCUGCAAAAUUCUGAAUAAGCCGUAACGUUUUCACACGGGCGAUAAUACUUUGA